rnacentral:rRNA from 1 species
AUGUGUCGACAAUCAAGUAUGAUGAAUUUUUCUACCGAACUCACAGAAGUAGAUUGUGUAUCCCAUCCAGCGUUCAACCUAAUGGACAUCGAGGGAACCACUUUGAGUAGGCAAUUGUUUGUGUGGAGGAAAAUGCAUGGUACUACAGCUAACCUUCCUUUGAUCCAGACGAAAUCAAGGCAACUGGGUCUUCUAUCUUCAAACAUCAAUUUGUCAUUAUCAUCUCAUCUCACCACACUCAUGCCACAUAACCUGCUGCAGGCGCACGCUGUAUGUGGCGGGGAGUUACUUCUAUGCAGUAAUACCAUUUUGGAGUGUCCCGUGUUUGCAACUAUCCUUAUGUGCAGCCCCUGCAACAAGGCAUCAGAGGAAAUAAAAGGGACAAACAAAUUUUGCGUCCAAUGUGUUGUUCAGAUGUUCAGGAGAAGUGGAGAAGAUGGUUCCUCGAGGCUCCAUCCAUGA